rnacentral:rRNA from 1 species
CGCAACCCUUAUCGUUAGUUGCCAGCGGGUAAUGCCGGGAACUCUAACGAAACUGCCGGUGUAAACCGUGAGGAAGGUGGGGAUGACGUCAAAUCAGCACGGCCCUUAUGUCCAGGGCUACACACGUGUUACAAUGGCCGAUACAGAGGGCAGCUACCUGGAGACAGGAUGCGAAUCUCCAAAGUCGGUCUCAGUUCGGAUCGGAGUCUGCAACUCGACUCCGUGAAGCUGGAUUCGCUAGUAAUCGCGCAUCAGCCAUGGCGCGGUGAAUACGUUCCCGGGCCUUGUACACACCGCCCGUCAAGCCAUGGAAGUUGGGGGUACCUGAAGUCCGUAACCGUAAGGAGCGGCCUAGGGUAAAACU